ACAUUUCUUGGACCAUGAUGCUCAAAUGUGAACACAGGGGCUGAACUCAUUUUUUUUCACCAGGGCAAAAUAGAGGAAAACUGUAGCUUCACAGCCCAAAGAAACACUUGCCCACCAGUGCAACUUAAAAUAGUGGUUCCAUUAACUUUCCAGAUGCAACAUUGCCCUUGCGUUCUUUAUUUCCUCACAGAAGCAUUUCUUUCUUGCCUUUCUCCAUCUUAUGUUUUAGCAUGCAGUCCUGAAGGAGGCCAUUUUAAGUGCUCUUUAUUUAUUGCCUUCCGUGGAAGAAGCAUCUUUCUUUUUAAUCACCUCAGCGCAAGCUCUAAGUUUUGGUUUAUGCCAAAUAAAACCUGCUAGCUGCAAGUCUCUUUGUUGUUCUUAUUGGGAGAAAGACCAAACAUAUUGUACAGCAUUGAUUUUUUUGACUUUGUUGGAUUAUGAUGGCCCAGGACAAACAACCGUGUGUUUAAAAAGCUUUUUUAAAGGAGUGGGCAAAAUUUCUGGACUGUAAAUGUUUGGAUCCAACGAGGAAAACCAUACCAGCCCUUCCAUCAAUGAGUUUUAUUGGAAUAUCAUUUUAACUAUGAAUGGUAAUUCAGAAAGCCUGGUGUGUCCGCGGAGUGGAGGGGGGAGGGAGGUGCUUGGCCCCUCCCCUCCCAGGUUUAUUGAUCGUUUUAAGUAUAGGCGGGCAGACCGACUGUGUGGUGUUGAGUGUGAGUCCUAUACGUCAGAACGGGGUGAUCAACUAGUGUCUCCUGCACACACACACACACGCAGUUACACUUCCUGCGCCCCCUCUUUUUUGUCUUUUACCUAAGAAAUGAGGCUCGUCGGGAUGAGAUAAGGGAGCGUGGGCUCAGUCCCGGGUGGAGAUCGGCGAGUCUGGAGCGGGGAGGGGGCCACACGCAAAACGCCCCUACCCCCUCAGAGGGCCGCCAAAGGCAGCCGUCUAGAGCCCCGAAGACCUACCUCAUCGGGUUGCUCGGGGUGACGAGCGUGCCUAGGACUGCGGGGCUGUGGUGGGGGUUGGGCAAAGCUCGGGCAGGUCGCACACCUGCCGGCCGGGGAUGUUAGGUCCCUCUCCCGCCUCCGCUCGAUCAGCCUUCGAGACCCUUCAGGAGCAAAGAGGGCUGCGAGGGGGAGAGAAGUCCCCGGGCAGGGGGCAGGUGAACCUGGCCUGGCUGGGAGGAAAAGCGGGAGGAAAGGACGCGGAGCAUCGGAAUCCACGCGAAGAGAAGCCUGAACGUAUUGAAGCGUGCUUGUGGAUGGAUGGAUGGAGAGAGAGAGAGAGAGAGAGAGGAUGAUGAUGGAGGGGCUGGACGGGUCGAUGGAUGGAGAGAGAGAGAGAGAGAGAGGACGAUGAUGGAGGGGCUGGACGGGCUGGAGCCUGCCCAUGGGGUUCUCGGUGAAGACCAGCCGCGUAGAAAGUGGACAUUGAUCAGGCAUUGAUCCCGCCCCGGCCAGCCUGGGGGAAGCAUCCGUAAACCCUCCUUCUCGGCGGAGGGAGAAGAGCCACUUGUGAGACCGCUCCCGGCGCUACUGCUUUUAUUGCUUGCAAAGCAGGUGAUCGGUGCGCGCGCUUCCUCCUCCUCCUCCUCCGCCGCCGCCAUCCCGUCCUUUCACUCACCCCAGCCCCAAACGCGCUCCCUUCUUUCCCUUCCCACCCUACCCCCGGCUGGACGACUCCCUCCUCCGGAGAGAACACGCCCAAGGAAGCAGGAGAAGCGCGAGGGAGGGAAAGAAAAUAGACAGUAACGUUGAACCUGAGGGGAAAGCCUCCCGAGCCGCCGCCGCUGCCGCCGCGAAGAGGAGCCGGG
ensembl:lncRNA